AUUGAACGCUGGCGGCAGGCUUAACACAUGCAAGUCGAACGGUAGCAGGAGAAAGCUUGCUUUCUUACUGACGAGUGGCGGACGGGUGAGUAAUGCUUGGGAAUCUGGCUUAUGGAGGGGGAUAACGACGGGAAACUGUCGCUAAUACCGCGUAUUAUCGGAAGAUGAAAGUGCGGGACUGAGAGGCCGCAUGCCAUAGGAUGAGCCCAAGUGGGAUUAGGUAGUUGGUGGGGUAAAUGCCUACCAAGCCUGCCAUCUCUAGCUGGUCUGAGAGGAUCACCAGCCAUACUGGAACUGACACACUGUUACGGGAGGCAACAGUAAA
rnacentral:rRNA from 1 species